rnacentral:lncRNA from 1 species
UCGGAAGAUAGUAAAACUACCCAAUGAAACCGGAGUAAAAGUUCACUCAAAAUGAGCUGGAUCCCGUUCAAGAUUGGACAACCAAAAAAACAGAUUGUCUCUAAAACUGUUGAAAGAGACUUUGAGCGAGAAUAUGACAAACUCCAAAAGUAAGUUUCCAUUAUGCUUUAUAAGACUAAUGAGGUAGACAGUGACUAAAGUUUCUCUGUGUUAUUCAGAGUUGCAUCGGUAUUAAAAUAAACAUUUUAUAUUUUACAAAAAUAUGCAUGUGUUACCAAGUGUUUUCAUGAUCAUGUUUUGUUUGUUUUAGCUUGGUGCUUUGUAUAUAUUAAAUAUCUUGAUGUCUGUCAUUACAGUCCUGCCAACAAAAAAAUCUGUAAUGUUUUUUUAUUAUUAA